AUAAGUCAUGAGAUUGACGGAGCCAGCGCAUUGGUGCACGUCGAGAGAAAACGCCCGCGCCGAAGAACAGUGGUACCAACUCUACAAGAGAAAACCUCGCACGAAACUUUUCCGUUUGGCCCUAAUGAGUGCUAUGAUAAUAUGCAAUUGAUUCUAAACGAUGUAUUCUAAAGUUGUGUUGAUAUUUCGAAUAUGACAAAGUUAAGAAAUUAAAACUAUGGCGCUAGUUUUGCUUAAUUGUAGAGACGAAACAUUCGCGAGACGCCAAUAUUCAGAAUCGAACGUCCGCACUCCGCCCCUCCAAAGAAUGACAGUGACCCAAAUGGAGCGCGGGCGCAUUCAGUUCCGCGAGCGAGCGCGCGACAGUCCUACCCGACGCACGCGCCGCCGCGGUGCCACUGUGGAGUCCUAAUCGCCGGCUUGUGGUUCUAGUGUCACAUUUAUUCCGGUUUCCGGUGUUAUGCAGUGAGGUCAGUGAUUAAGGCCAUGGCUGGAUCAUUAAUGGAUGGUAUCGUGGAUUUUGACCUUUCAAGGUCAAUUCGAUUCAUAGAAGACGGUGGAAACUAAAGCACAUCCUAAAUGUAUAUGAAAGUAGAAAUUAAUGUAUGGUAAGCGAAAUAUAUACUGGAUCCCACAUAAAUGAGAAGAAAUAAGUAUUCAAAAUGUUGAUACCAAAAGUUACCGACACUCCGUCGACCUUUAGAACGAAAGUUGUGAAGCAAGUUAUGAGUCACGAUGGCUGCUGCUGACCCGGCGUCGGCGCAGGGCUCGGUGUCUAGACGACACACUUUGCACAUAUAAUAUGAAUAACCUUUGGGAUGAAGAUUAUUCAGAUGCAAAUUAUACUUUUUGCCUCUUAUUGCGAACUAUAUUAGCUAUUUAGAAACGACAGGUCACACUGAAACCGUGGCACGCUGACGCUGAACGACACUCGCGCCAAACGGAGAACGCGGGGAGUGAUUCCCGCCAAAACGGUCGCAGGCUGUGGCGCGAAGGCCCACGAUUGGUCGAGCGGCGGCGCGCGGUGUGCGCAAGGCCGCCGGUUUUCCCGCGAACAAUGCCAAAUGGUGCAUUUGUCAAGAUCAGCAAUCGUAGCGCGAUAGGCAGCUGCGUCAUGCGUCUCCGGAGGGUCAGCAGCUUCGGUGGUUGCGAGCAAAUCAUCUCGAAUGUUCCGCAAUUGUUCGUUCUCCGCCGUGCUCGCUGCUAGAC